GACGAACGCUAGCGAUAGGCCUAACACAUGCAAGUCGAGGGGCAUCACAUGAAGUAGCAAUACGGAUGGUGGCGACCGGCGCACGGGUGAGUAACACGUAUGCAACCUGCCUUCAACAAGGGGAUAACCCGUUGAAAGACGGACUAAUACCCUAUAACACAGGGGUCCCGCAUGGGAAUAUUUGUUAAAGGACAACCGGUUGAAGAUGGGCAUGCGUUCCAUUAGCUAGUUGGCGGGGUAACGGCCCACCAAGGCAACGAUGGAUAGGGGAACUGAGAGGUUUAUCCCCCACACUGGUACUGAGACACGGACCAGACUCCUACGGGAGGCAGCAGUGAGGAAUAUUGGUCAAUGGACGCAAGUCUGAACCAGCCACGUCGCGUGAAGGAAGACGGCCCUACGGGUUGUAAACUUCUUUUAUACGGGAAUAAAGUGCCCCACGCGUGGGGUUUUGCAUGUACCGUAUGAAUAAGGAUCGGCUAACUCCGUGCCAGCAGCCGCGGUAAGUACUGACUCA
rnacentral:rRNA from 1 species